GUUUUAGUAUAAGUAUAUCCCGUGUAACAUUUGGGAUAUACUUACACUAAAA
rfam:Papio anubis isolate 1X1155 chromosome 19, whole genome shotgun sequence.